rnacentral:antisense_RNA from 1 species
CUUGAUCGAGCCCAGCCACAGCGGGUGGUCGCCGCGGUCGCGGCCGUAGGUGGCCAGCAGGGACUGCGCCUC